UACAGAGGGUGCGAGCGUUAAUCGGAAUUACUGGGCGUAAAGCGCGCGUAGGCGGCUUUGCAAGUCGAGUGUGAAAUCCCCAGGCUUAACCUGGGAACUGCAUUCGAGACUGCAUAGCUAGAGUAUGGGAGAGGGAAGUGGAAUUUCAGGUGUAGCGGUGAAAUGCGUAGAUAUUGGGAAGAACACCGGUGGCGAAGGCGGCUCACUGGCUCAUUUCUGACGCUCAGGCGCGACAGCGUGGGGAUCAAACAGG
rnacentral:rRNA from 1 species